GGAUGCUCUCCCGGGGUUUAGAGAAGAUGCUACUGCCCACCACUAACGCUUAGCAGGAACAAGGAAGGAGGCCAGGAACCAAAGUGGGUCGGUCCACAUUACUAUCUCUUACUGGUCCCUGAUGGGUCUAAAAAUAGAUUAUAUUCCAAAGUUAAAAAUCUUGAAAUCAAUUAUGUCCCAAGGCUUCAGUUCAGCUUAACAUUUCAAUAGAAAAGAGCCUAGUACCUAGUGCCAGGUCUACUUUGACAAUUGGGCCACCAUUGUAAUCUUCACCAGAUUUCAUGAAUGAUGAGCCUCCCUGAUACUUAUCAGCCAAACAGAACAAAACUGAUUUCUCUUGGCCUUCAGAUUCUUCAUCAUCACUGUUGUCAGAAAAUUGGCAGUGGAGGACUUCAUCUUGUUCUUCUAUGUGACCCA